AUUUGGUGUUGUGGGCAACUAUAGCACAAGUUGUUGAACCUCUCCCAAUAAUCAUGGAAAGUCUCAUUUUGAUCUUGGCGGAUUCCACAAAUCUCAUUUCUAAGACU